AUGAGUCCAAAAUAGGACGAAACGCGCGUC
rnacentral:hammerhead_ribozyme from 1 species